GUUGUCUUCUCCCCACACUUCCCUCUUAGAGAGGUGGAAGACCAAAAUCUCUUUAGCUUCAACCUUCAAAAUUGUGGAGGAGAUACUAGAGGCCAAGCCUAAGUGUUAGGAGGGGAUUCUUGCUUGAGGAUAAUAUCCUUGGAGGUCCAGAAUUUUGAUUGCUUUUGAGAGCGCGCCGUAGUUGUGAUAGGUUUCAUACUUUCCUCGGUGUAGAUUUGACUUGUUAUGCUUGUAGUUAGGUGUUUUGUUGGGUUGUUGAUGAACCCUUUAAAUACUUUAACUUUCUUUUCUUUUAGACUUUUAAUUUUGAGAAGAUUGUAAGGUUAA